rnacentral:rRNA from 1 species
UACGUAGGGACCGAGCGUUGUCCGGAAUCAUUGGGCGUAAAGAGCGUGUAGGCGGCCACUUAAGUCCUGCGUGAAAUCCUGCGGCUCAACCGCAGGCGGUCGUGGGAAACUGGGUGGCUAGAGUGCGGGAGAGGAGAGUGGAAUUCCUGGUGUAGCGGUGGAAUGCGCAGAUAUCAGGAAGAACACCCGUGGCGAAGGCGGCUCGCUGGGACGGUACUGACGCUGAGACGCGAAAGCGUGGGGAGCGAACAGG